AAGUCGUAACAAGGUUUCCGUAGGUGAACCUGCGGAAGGAUCAUUAACACGUAUCCAAACGUUAAAACAACCCUGUGAAUAUUGAAUCUCAGUUCCCCCAGGGCAGAAAAAUGGGCUUCCUCUAGUAAAUCAUUGUCUUAACAAGGUUUUGAGUUCAGGUUGAACAUGAUGCAUGUCUACCGCGCCCCCUAACCGAACAACUGUUAACAAUGGAUAUCUUGGUUCUCGC
rnacentral:misc_RNA from 1 species